rnacentral:rRNA from 1 species
UACGUAGGGGGCAAGCGUUAUCCGGAAUUAUUGGGCGUAAAGAGCUCGUAGGCGGUUUGUCGCGUCUGCUGUGAAAACUCGGGGCUUAACCCCGGGCCUGCAGUGGGUACGGGCAGACUAGAGUGCGGUAGGGGAGACUGGAAUUCCUGGUGUAGCGGUGAAAUGCGCAGAUAUCAGGAGGAACACCGGUGGCGAAGGCGGGUCUCUGGGCCGUAACUGACGCUGAGGAGCGAAAGCAUGGGGAGCGAACAGG